GACGAACGCUGGCGGCGUGCCUAAUACAUGCAAGUCGAACGCACAGGCGAGGUGCUUGCUCCGCUCACGUUAGCGGCGGACGGGUGAGUAACGCGUGGAUAACCUACCUGUAAGAGGGGGAUAACUUCGGGAAACGGGAGCUAAUACCGGAUAAGAUAUUGAACCGCAUGGUUCAUUAGUAAAAGACGGUUUUGCUGUAACUUCUAGAGGGAUACCCGCCGCUUUAGCUGGUUGGUAAGGUAACGGCUUACCAAGGCAACGAUGCGUGGCCGACGGGAGGGGGGGAUCGGCCACACUGGAGCGGAGACACGCUCCAGACUCCUGCGGGAGGCAGCAGUAGGGAAUCUUCCGCAGAGGGCGAAAGCCUGACGGAGCAACGCGGCGUGAGUGAUGAAGGUCUCGGGAUCGUAAAACCCGGUUAUUGGGGAAAAACAGAUUUGGAAUUAAAUGUGCACGUCUUGACGGUACCUAAUCAGAAAGCCACGGCUAACUACGUG
rnacentral:rRNA from 1 species